GGGCCGGUAGUUCAGUUGGGAGAACGCCUCGUUCGCAACGAGGAGGUCGGGAGUUCGAAUCUCCUCCGGUCCA
rnacentral:tRNA from 1 species